rnacentral:rRNA from 1 species
GAUGAACGCUGGCGGCGUGCCUAAUACAUGCAAGUCGAGCGAACGGACGAGACGCUUGCUUUUCUGAUUUUAGCGGCGGACGGGUGAGUAACACGUGGAUAACCUACCUCUAAGACUGGUAUAACUUCGCGAAACCGCAGCUCAUACCGGAUAAUAUUUUGAACCGCAUGGUUCAAAAGUGAAAUACGGUCUUGCUGUCACUUAUAGAUGACUCCGCGCUGCAUUAUUUAGUUGGUAAGGUAACUGCUUACCAAGGCAACGAAGCAUAGCCGACCUGAGCGGGUGAUCGGCCACACGGGAACUGAGACACGGCCCAGACUCCUACGGGAGGCAGCAGUAGGGAAUCUUCCGCAAUGGGCGAAAGCCUGACGGAGCAACGCCGCGUGAGUGAUGAAGGUCUUCGGAUCGUAAAACGCUGUUAUUAGGGAAGAACAUAUGUGUAAGUAACUGUGCACAUCUUGACGGUACCUAAUCAGAAAGCCACGGCUAACUACGUG